AGGACGAACGCUGGCGGCGUGCUUAACACAUGCAAGUCGAACGGUGAAGCCCUUCGGGGUGGAUCAGUGGCGAACGGGUGAGUAACACGUGGGUAACCUGCCCUGAACUCUGGGAUAACUCCGGGAAACCGGGGCUAAUACCGGAUACGAGCUGGAGCGGCAUCGCUCCGGCUGGAAAGUUUUUCGGUUCAGGAUGGACCCGCGGCCUAUCAGCUUGUUGGUGGGGUAAUGGCCUACCAAGGCUUUGACGGGUAGCCGGCCUGAGAGGGCGACCGGCCACACUGGGACUGAGACACGGCCCAGACUCCUACGGGAGGCAGCAGUGGGGAAUAUUGCACAAUGGGCGAAAGCCUGAUGCAGCGACGCCGCGUGAGGGAUGACGGCCUUCGGGUUGUAAACCUCUUUCAGCAGGGACGAAGCGAAAGUGACUGUACCUGCAGAAGAAGCACCGGCUAACUACGUGCCAGCAGCCGCGGUAAUACGUAGGGUGCGAGCGUUGUCCGGAUUUAUUGGGCGUAAAGAGCUUGUAGGCGGCUCGUCACGUCGGGUGUGAAAACUCGCGGCUCAACCGCGAGCCUGCACCCGAUACGGGCGGGCUAGAGUUCGGCAGGGGAGACUGGAAUUCCUGGUGUAGCGGUGGAAUGCGCAGAUAUCAGGAGGAACACCGGUGGCGAAGGCGGGUCUCUGGGCCGAUACUGAC
rnacentral:rRNA from 1 species